UCCCUGGUGGCUCAGACAGUAAAGCAUCUGCCUGCAAUGCAGGAGACCCAGGUUCGAUUCCUGGGUCGGGAA
rnacentral:tRNA from 1 species